AUUCGUGCCAGCAGUUGCGGUUAUACAAAUAAUAUAAUUUAAUUUAAUUAGUAAUAAUUAAUUGAAAAUAAAAAAAUUUUAAAUUAAAAUUUUAAAGGUGAAAUUUUAAAAUUUUAAUAAGAUUAAGUUUUUAUAAUGAAGUUAAAAAAUUUAAAAAAUAAACUAGGAUUAGAUACCCUAUUAUUUUAAAUGUAAUUUUUAAUACUAAAUUAGUAAUAGUUAAGUUCUUUAAAAUUAAAAAUUUUGGCGGUAUUUUAGUCUAUUCAGAGGAACCUGUUCUAUAAUUGAUAAUCCACGAUUAAAUUUACUUUUAUUAUUAGUUUGUAUAUCGUCGUAAUGGAAUAUUUUAUAAGAAUUAUAAUAUUCAAGAUUUUGAAUAAAAAAAUAAAUCAGAUCAAGGUGCAGUUUAUAUAAAAGAAGAAAUGGGUUACAGUAAAAUUAUUUAGGGAUUAUUAUUAUUAAAAUAAUAUGAAUUUGGAUUUGAGAGUAAAUUUAAUUAAUUAAUUAAAUUGAUUUAGCUCUAAAAUAUGUACACAUCGCCCG
rnacentral:rRNA from 1 species